GGGUCAGUAGGUUGGUCGUGCCACCGGUACGUACUGGUCUCACUGAUUCCUCCUUCCUGAAGAACCGUAAUGACAUUAAUUUGGUGUUGCGGGGAAACAGGACUGUCACUUUGAAAAAAUUAGAGUGUUUAAAGCAAGCUAACGCUUGAAUACAUUAGCAUGGAAUAAUGAAAUAGGACGAUCGAUCCUAUUUUGUUGGUUUCUAGGAUUGACGUA
rnacentral:rRNA from 1 species